ACUUCUUCGGACAAUAUACAAGGUGCUGCAUGGUUGUCGUCAGCUCGUGCCGUGAGAUGUUGGGUUUAAGUCCCGUAACGAGCGCAACCCUUGUCCUUAGUUACCAGCACGUUAUGGUGGGCACUCUAAGGAGACUGCCGGUGACAAACCGGAGGAAGGUGGGGAUGACGUCAAGUCAUCAUGGCCCUUACGGCCUGGGCUACACACGUGCUACAAUGGUCGGUACAAAGGGUUGCCAAGCCGCGAGGUGGAGCUAAUCCCAUAAAACCGAUCGUAGUCCGGAUCGCAGUCUGCAACUCGACUGCGUGAAGUCGGAAUCGCUAGUAAUCGUGAAUCAGAAUGUCACGGUGAAUACGUUCCCGGGCCUU
rnacentral:rRNA from 1 species